CGUUGGACAGGCACCCUCUGAGGGGAAGCUACAAGGCUUAACGGCUUUGAGCGUCAAGAGGACACCGAGGCGUGGUCCUCCGGGGUCCAGAGAGUCCGGAAUUGGGGAGCGGAGCCUCCCAGAGGCAGAGCACUUCCGCCGGCGCUCGCGGACGGCCUCCUCCCUUUCACAAGGGACACCUGGAGACCAGCACUGUGUGGCACUCCGUGGGCACCCUCACGGCUCUUCCUGUUCCAGCCCCGAGGUGCCUUCUCAGACCGCAGACCCAGACCUCCAAGACAUAGAGGAAGCGGAGAUCACCAGAGACACCUGGCUUGACUCUGGGUGGGAGCCCCCGAGAAGCCUCCAGCCUCUCUCUGCUCCUGCAGUCGUGGAGAUGGGCUGGAGCCCUCAGACGGAAGGGCACCGAGGGGCCUCUUGAAGAGCCUUCCCGGCAUGUCUAAGUGUGGAGACAGCGUUGGCCAGGAAUGUAGCUUGGAGCAGCCAGCAGGCUUGCCUCCAGGAGCCAUGCCCUGCUCUCAGAAAAGAGACACUUGGCACAUGGCACUCUUGCCCCAGGGAGCCCCAGGGACAGAGGGUAGCGCCAAGAAGAACUGCUGAACUGGGCAAUAGUUUGGGUCGAGACUGCCGGCAGAGAGGCCCAUAGGGCACCAAGGCACACCUCUGUGAGGCCUGUGGUAAGAGCUUCGAGUACAACUCUCUUCUGCUAAAGCACCGGCGCAUCCACACAGGGGAGAAGCCCUACGCCUGCCACGAGUGCCACAAGGACUUCGGGAGCUGGUGGGGCUUCAUGCAGCACCUCCAUGUCCACACAGGCGAGAAGCCCUAUGAGUGCGGCCAGGCCUUCAGCCAGAGCUCACACUUCACAGAGCACUUGCGCAUACACAACAGCGAGAAGCCCUCCAAGUGUGGCGAAUGUGGUCACGCCUUCAGCCAGAGCUCCAGCCUGGUGCGCCACCAGCGGCUGCACACGAGGGAAAAGGAAAAGCCGGAUGUCUGCAGCCAGUUGCUGCAAGGUCUUCACCUGGGGCUCAGUGCUCAUAGAACACCAGCGCUUCUCGCCCUACGCCCUACGGGUAUGAAGACUGCAGCAAGGCCUUCCUAGGACAGUCGCACUUCUUCCGGCACUUAGGGACCCACACGGGUGAGAAACCCUUCAGCUGUGACAGCUGUGGCAAAGCUUUUGGCCAGAGCUAUCAGCUCAUCCAGCACCAGAGGGUGCGCUACUGCGAGUAGCACUCACCCCAAUAAAGUUUGAGUAAACCUGCUCCUACCGAGUGAGAUGGAGAUGCUUUACGGGGACCCGGCAGGACAUGUCCUGUGUCCAGGUGUGAUGGCCAAAGAAACUCCAUUUCAUGGUAGGUAUUCAGCUUGGAACCCACUAGCCACUUCUCUCUGACUCCAGUUCCUGGAAGAUCCCAGUAACCCUGACUCUGUGAUUCCUACCCAAAAAUGUAUAGCCAUGGCCAUCUAUUUGUUAUGACAUGACUGCUUUUUUGGCAUAUGCAGAUAUUCAAGGCCUAUUUUGAGGUCGUCCCUGACUACCUAACCUUGGCAGAGCAGCACAGCUCCUGGCUUGCUUGUGCAGACACUCAGUGUGGGUUUUGCCAUGACAAAUCCUUCCCUCACCCCUCCACACAGCAGUCUCUAGUUUGCCUCAGAGACUGGUGUCCUUCUAGUGGUUUCAAUAAAUUUAGCUA